GAGGGUUCUCUUUUAAAACCUGAAUCAGAUCCUGUCGUCCUCCACUGCUAGUAAAUAAAAUAAAUGAUGCUAAGAACCCCAGCACCUGGCCCUGGUUUACCCUGACUCAGAAUGGCCCCUGGGACCCCCGCCCUCACCGCUGCUCCAUGGCGCCCCCUUGCCGGGCCUCAAACACACCCAUCUCGUGCCCACUUUGGCCUCUGUAUUCCUACUGUCUGGCAUAAAAGAGGCUCUCCCCAGUGUCACCUGUGGAAUGAACAAGGGCGUGAAUCCCCAUCCUGCGGAAGAGAAGACGGGGUCUGGAAAGGACAGAAACUCCCAAGGUGGAGGCUGCUCCGUGGGAAGAGCCGCCUGCUUCCUGGGAAGCAGAGGGAGAGGAGGGAGCACCCCCACUAGGCCAGACCUUGUGCCCUGGACCUCAGUGACCCCUGCAGCGGGCACAGCUGGUGAGGCCGGGCACCCAGGGCCACAGGAAGCCACUACCGCUGCCUGUGCUGGCACAGAGAAGCCCCAGGGGCUGCAGAGCCCCCAGCCUCACCAUCCUCAGUCUCCACAUAGAGGCGGAGUCCCAGGUCCUUGUGAUGCUUCAGCAACCAGCAGUCACUGGCUGCUGUGACAUCCAGCACCAGCCAGCCCUCGUCUCCAUCUCGGAGCGUCUGAAGAUCCAAAAAGAACAAGUCAGACUCCCUGUGGACAUGAAAGAACAAUUAACCGGCGGCCGGCACAGCUGCCUCCGUGUCUCCAGGGCCCACUGGGGGCUGUCACCGGAGCGUCUCCCACCUAACUUCUGGCUGUGCCCCUUCUGAGCCUCAUCUCAUUGCCUCAGCCCACAGAGGUGUACACAUGGGGAAACUGAGGCCCAGUGACCUGUCCAAGUCCCCAGAGCCAGGAUGGCAGGGCAGGGACUUGAAGUCAGGAUUGUCACUGGGGCUCUUCCCACAGUGCAGGGGCCUCGGGCCAAGCAUCCUUCCCAUCUUUGAGGCUCUCUUUCAGCCCACCACGACUCCCUGCUGGGCUGCCUUGACCAUGAGACUGUGAGGUGGGGGGUUAGGUGGGGCACCGGGGCCAAGGGGAAGGCACCUGUUGGACUGCUCCUGGACCACCUGGAACAUGCUGACGUGGAGGGUCCUGUUGAGCAGGUGGAUGCUGGGCACCUUGUAAAUCCGGAACUCCGCAGCUGUGACCACCUCCCCAGCCGGGAUCUGGGUCAGGUCAAAGCGGAACUCCUUCCAAUGGGGCUCCUGGUGGCCCAGGGCACGGUCUCGCUCCACUAGAAGACAAAGCAGCGCUGGGCUGGCACUCAGAAUGGCUCGGGCUCUGGAGGGGGCAGAGCUGGUGUGAGCCACCGCCCCCAGCCACCCACCACUCAAGGUGGAGGGGACCCAGGGAUGCCUGGGUGGGGCCGGCUUCAUUUAGUGCAAACGUCUGUUCCAGGCUUGGUCCCGGGGUGUAGACAGGGCCAAGAGGCCCUGCAGCCAGGCUCACCCUGAGCCCCGCAGCUGGCUGGUGCUCAGCAGGCCCCAGGCUCCAAACCCUGAACUCGCGUUGCGCCCCCUUCUCGGCCCGGGUGGUCCUGGGACUCAGAGAUGAGACAGAGGAGGGAGCCUCCUCUGGGAACUUCCAGGCUAAAGGGAAGAUGGACAUUGGACCCAAGGCAGAAAAGGGCCCCGGCCCUGCAGGGAAACCUGGUAGACAGGGACAUAACCGACAUAACUGACGGCAUCUCAGGGGACACAAGGCAUCCAGAGCCUGCCCACUGCCUGGAUGGGAGGUGCGGCAGGGGAGGGCUCAGGGCUGACGGCUGAGCUGGGCUGAGGCAUGAGUGCGAAUCUGCCAUGGUGUCAGGGAGACGGGCCCUGCAGGGGCCGGCCAGCCAAGGCAGAGGGCCAGAGCAGAGGGGUCUGAGGGCAGGGCAGGGAAAGCAAGCACCAGGAAACAGCAGAGGGCAGGAGACCCACGUUUCCUUUCUGGAACAAGGUGGAAGAGGAAGGAGGGAAAUGUGGAAAGGAACAAGAAAAACCAGGGCAGGAGUGACAACUCCCGGAGAGGCCAGUCAGGUGCCGGGGAAGUCGGAGGGUCUCACUGGGUGAUGGGAUCUGAGCAGGUGGCAUCUGAACUGGCUUUGAAGGGUGGGAUGGGUCUUGGUAGGUGGAGAAGGUGGCAGGGAGGGUGCUCUAGGGAGAGGGGACCUCGCAUGCACAGGGUGGAGGCGCCCACAGGUCAGCGAUGUUGGGGACGGCACAUGAGCUCUGCUGCGGCCUGCCUGCUGAGGGUGCGAAUCCCGGGCCAGGAGCCUGGGCUGCGCCUCUGGCCAGUGGGAAGCACAGGGGACGGGGGCAGCAGGGAGGCGGUGUGGUUGGAGGGGAAUUAGAAGACACAGUGGAGGCAAGGGUAGAGGCCAGGCUGGAAGUGAGAUGGGCAGCAGGGCCCCGUGGCAGGGACUGGCCUGCCAAUCAAACAAAGGCUGCAGUUGCGGAAUAAAGCCCACAUUUCCCCAGGUGUCCGAAAAUACCCAGGACGCUAUAUUUAGGGCAGUCUCACUUUAGCCUCCCAUCCGUUUCAAACUCUAGAAAUCUGUGUUUCCGGAAAGCAGGGGUGGGAGCCGCCCAGUGCCUUCCCCAAAACCCAGCACUGAGAUUUCAAUGAUAUGUUUGUGAGUCUUUUUAAAAAUUCUCUGUGGUUACUGGGCUCAGUGACCACGGUCAGGUUUGUAAAAGCACCAGGCUGUGCGGGCCGAGGCGGAUGUGGGGAGCACUUCCUGUCCUCGUGGUGGGGACCUGGUCCGGCCAUGGGUAGGCGAACAGCUGUGCGGGGCAGGGGACGGGGCCAGACAUGUGUGGGCAGGAGGAGGUGGCCGCUCAUCCCAGCCCAGGGUGGAGAAGGAAAGAACGUGCCUUGUCCCACAGCACCCAAGGGUGUCUUUUGAAGUCUUACUUUUUGGUCAGAAAUAAUACUUUGAAUUAAGUUUUUCUAAAUAAAUGUAUUCUUUCACUCAUCUAAUAAAUUCAUCAUGUUUAAUUUAGAAAUAAAUUUAUUCAGUUCUUACUGUAUGUACAAUACUGUUCUGGGCAAUACAACAAUAAACAAGAUACUUUUUCCACA